rnacentral:rRNA from 1 species
UACAGAGACGGCGAGCGUUGUUCGGAUUCAUUGGGCGUAAAGGGCGCGUAGGCGGUCGGGUAAGUCGGAUGUAAAAGCUCACAGCCUAACUGUGAUAGGUCAUUCGAAACUGCCCGGCUCGAGGAAUGGAGAGGAGACUGGAAUGGUCGGUGUAGCGGUGAAAUGCGUAGAGAUCGAGCAGAACACCGGUGGCGAAGGCGGGUCUCUGGACAUUUCCUGACGCUGAGGCGCGAAAGCCAGGGGAGCAAACGGG